GAGAAGUCAUUAGCCUAGGGGUUCCAACCUACACUGUGAAUGUUUAAAAUAUGUAUUCAAUAUAGACAAGAAAAAUACAAUAAGUUGUGUGUUAUUAGUUUAAGCAGACUGUUUGUCCAUUGUUGUGAAUUAGAUCAAGAUCAGAUCAAAUUUUAUGACACAUUUAUGCAAAAAUCCAGGUCAUUAUAAAGGGUUCACAUAAUUUUUCUUGCCAUUGUAUAUAGAAUUCUACAUUUUGUUCUGGUUUCUUUCUAUCGGGAAGGGCCUGUAAGCAUUAGCUACCUUCCUGAGCGGAGCUUGUUCUGAUUGGUAAGCUUUGCAUCUCUUCAGCUGCUGAUGACACUUAUAAAUAAUGGAAAUGUUAUCCUGCUAGCUAGUUUUUACAACACUGUUAUUGUACAUAAUGAUAGGGAACUGUACAACUACUAACGUAGCUAAAGUAAGUUAAUAGUAAUCUAACUUUAUGUCUUACUAUCUAAUUGUGUGCCUUGAAUUAUGCAAGUAUUUGCUGUGGAUUGCAGUGAUUAGAAACAACCCAGGGACCAUAGUCCAUCUCAACUAUUCCUGUGACCCAUUUGUACUGCAAGGUAGCUAGUUAGCUAAGUAAAGAUGACUAAAACUACCCAUUUCAUAUACCCACUUGAUCUACUGUUACCUGUGUGUUUUCUCUAUUGCAUCCCUCUGCCUCCCCGUUCUACUCCCCACUUCCUGUUUACUCCGUUCUAGUUCUACAGAAUCUACAGAGGGGUUCUGCAGCGCCAGACAGCAGGUACCUCCAGGGCUCCUUUCCCAACAUCCAAAGUCCUCCCCCCUGAUCUACCCAACAUCACACAACCAAACUUCAUCAAGAUGCGUCAUACUCCUAAAUUUCAUCUACCGCCAUAACAUUCUGGUUAAGUAUUUUCUCAGUAAAUCUUCCCUAAACGUAUUUCAGCUGUAGGUGUGUGUGGUGUGUGUUAACGUGUGAAACGAUUUUAAAAUGUUUUUAUAUGUUACUGUUAUGAAUGUGAGAUGUCACAGGGAUUUAUUUUUAUUAUACAAUGAUUUUUGAACUGCCAUUUUCAUGUAGUAUCUAUGAUUUACCUUUAUUGUCCCUUAUGCUUGAGACUCUCAUUGUCUUCAGAUAUCAAGUAGGCUGUUCAUCACAACCCACUGUAAUCUUCAUGUAGUAUUUAUGAUUUACCUUUACUGUCCCUCAUGCUGAAGACUCUCAUUGUCUCAUCCGACAGUUCCCACAUCACACAAAUCAUUUCACUUCUUGCAGUUUUAGAGCCCAAAGCCCCAGACCUGAACACAACUGCAGUCCAAAGUACUAGUAACACUACCACACGCCCUUAAGGAGAUCACAAAUAUCAUGGACACAUUUUUUUAUUUUUUAUUUAACCUUUAUUUAACUGGGCAAGUCAGUUAAGAACACAUUCUUAUUUACAAUGACGGCUUAACGGGGAACAGCAGGUUAACUGCCUUGUUCAAGAUUUUUACCUUGUCAGCUCGGGGAUUCAAUCCAGCAACCUUUCGGUUACUGGCCCAACGCUCUAACCACUAGGCUACCUACCGCCCCACGUUAGUACUAGUGGAUAUAUGGAGGCAACAAAAAAAACAGACCUAGUGAGAUAUACAUGGAGGAGACUUAAUCAAGCUAGCCAUCUUGAAUAAUUGAUUGUGUUAUUCUCUCUGGCACCAAAAGUUUAAAAAAGUAUUGGUAGGAGACAGAAUGCGAUCGGACCACCAUCUAAUUAGCCUCCACAUAAUUCUUACAGAAUUUCCAUGUGGACGGGGUAAUGGAAAUGUAAUCAAGGCCUACUGGAUGACAAUUUGUUCUUAACUAAGACAAAAUCAUUUAUAACUGAAUUUUUCACCCACAAUAUACAGGUACAGCAGAUCCCCUUACUGUAUGGUACCCUUCCAAAUGUGUCUUCAGAGGCCAUGCAAUGCAAUGUUCAUCUUUAAAACAAAGCAGUUUCGGUCAAAAGAGUUUAGACUGCCUUCCAAGUGGUGCAGCGGUCUAAGGCACUGCUUUGCAGUGCUUGAGGCAUCACUACAGAGCCGGCUUCAAUCCCAGGCUGUAUCAUAGCCGGCCACGACCGAGAGACCCAUGAGGCGACGCACAAUUGGUCCAGCAUCGUCCAGGUUAGGGGAGGGUUUGGCCAGAUGGAAUUUCCUUGUCCUAUCGUGCUCUAGUGACUCCUUGUGGCGUUCCGGGUCCUUGUGGCUGACUUCGGUCGCCAGCUGGAUGGUGUUUCCUCCGACACAUUGGUACGGCUGGCUUCCGGGUUAAGCGAGGAGUGUGUCAACAAGCAAUAUGGCUUGACAGGGUUGUGUUUCGGAGGACACAUGGCUCUCAUCCUUCGCCUCUCCCGAGUCCAUAGGGGAGUUGCAGCGUUGGGACAAGACUGUAUCUACCAAUUGGAUAUCAUGAAAUUGGGGAGAAAAAGUGGUAAAAGAAAAUAUAUAUAAAACAAUAUAUAAAAGUUUAGACUAACAAAGGAAAUAGAGGAACUAACUGCACAGGUAGCUGGCAAUACAAACAGUACUAUAGAGGUUAGAGGAAAAACAAAAAGAACUUGAGGAACUUAUUCAUGAACGAUCAAGUGUAAUUUAUUACAAAAAUAAAGAGAACUGGAUGGAAAAUGGGGACAAAUGCACAACAUCGAAAUGCUACCAAAAAGAAGUUACAGAAACCCAUUACGAAUGACAGAGUCAUCCAUGAUCCACCAAAUUAGAUUUUGAAAAAGGAAGCAAAAUAUUUUAAGCAUAUGUUUUCUUUCUAUUCUCCUCCAUCUCCACUGAAUGAUGUUAACUGUAAGGAUUUCCCCCCCUAAUAAUAAUGUAAAAUUAACAAAUGUACAGAAAGACCUGUGUGAAGGCCAACUUACAGAGGAGGAACUUGAGGCAAUUAAAUACUUUUGGUCUGGGAAAAACCCCAGGUCUUGAUGGCAUGCCAGUAGAGAUAUAUCAAACCUUUUUUAUGUACUUAAAGAUACACUAUUAGCAUGUUCUAACUACUCCUAUAUAAAUAGUCAACUACUCAACAAGGAGGUCUGAUUUCACUAUUACUGAAACAGGAGAGAUAAUAUACAAUAAUUACUUGAAACAAUAGAACAAAAUGAAACAUCAAAUAAACCAGGCCUGAUCUUUAUAGCAGAUUUUGAAAAGGCUUUUAAUAAAGUAUCACUAGAAUUUAUACAUAAUUGCCUGGACUAUUUUAAUUUAGAUGAAUCUCUUAUACACUGGAUUAAAGUUAUGUAUAGCAACCCCAGGUGUACAAUAGUAAAUAAUAGUUACAUCUCAGAAAGUAUUGAACUGUCAAGAGCAGUAAAACAAGGCUGUCUGCUGUCUCCAUAUCUAUUUCUUAUGGUUAUUGAAAUGCUAGCUAUAAAAAUCAGAUCCAUCAAGAACAUCUCAAGGGGUUAGAAAUCCAGGGCUUUAAAACAAAAGUGUCGAUGUAUGCAAUCUGGAUCCCUGCCCGGUCUCAUUGAAGAUCACUUCUCUAGCCUCUCUGGACUACAAUCAAAUUAUAAUAAAUACACCAUAUUACGUAUUGGAUCUAUAAAAGAUACAACUCUUACAUUAACAUGUAGUUUAGCAAUACAAUGGGCUGAUGGCAAAGUAUACAUACUUGGUAUUCAUAUUCCUAAAGAUAUAGAUGAACUUACCACAACAAAUUUUUAUUGAAAAUUUGCAAAAAUAGACAAGAUUCUGCAACAUUGGAGAGGUAAAUCACACUGAUCAAUUCUUUAGUCAUAUCAGAGUUUUACUUCUUUACUUAUGGCAUUGCCUACUCCAGAUGAUGAUUUUUUUUAAAUCAUAUGAACAUAAAAUAUUUCACUUUAUUUGGAACACUAAGCCAGACAAAUUUAAAGUGCCUAUUUAUAUAAUGAAUAUAAGUUUUAGGCACUGAAAUUAUGAAAUAUUAAAGCAUUAAACCUCUCACUAAAAGCUUCACUCAUACAUAAAUUAUACUUAAACCCGAACUUGUUCUCCAGUAGAUUACUAAGAAAGGCUCAACCUGUGUUCAUUUUGUUUUGUCUUUUUACAGAUUACAACUUCUACUUUUUGGUUAAUUGAAAAAUAAACUUUGUUCAAAGUAUCGCCCUUUCUGAAACAAGCCUUACAAAGCUGGUUACAAUUUAAAUUGUAUCCUCCAGAAAAGAUAGAACAAAUAUUACAACAAAUAUUAUGGUUAAACUCAAAUAUACUAAUUGCUAAAAAAAACUACAUGAUGGACAUUUGAAAAAAAGUAUUAUAUAUAUUAAGGAUAUUAUGAGUAGUAAUGGUGGAUUUAUGUCACACAUGCAGCUAUUGAAAAUAUAUGGGAGUGUUUGCUCAGUCCAAACUUACAACCAACUGAUUGCAGCAUUACUGCAAAAAUGGAGAGGCAAGUGGAAGGGGGACAAAGUAGAGAAUGUGUUAGUCUGCUAUAUAUUAAAGACCAAAACUGUCUGAAAAAGAUUGGCAUAAAUAGAAAAAUAUACCAGUUUCAUUUGAGGACAAAAAAUGUUGACAGCUGUGCCAUUCAGGUAGCAAAAAUGUUUUACUGAUGUACCAAUUCCAUGGCACACGGUAUAUAAACUGUACACAAAACAACACUUGAUUCAACUGCAAGUUUUUCAGUUGAAAUUAUUAUACAAUAUUCUUGCGUGUGGAACUCAAAAAGGGGUGGUCUUUGGAGACUGGUGGGAUGGGCUGAGAGUAGCAGAGCACUGGGUUUAUAAAGCUCAUAAUCGGUAAUAGUUAUUAUUGAAAACACUAGGUAGGUUGUUUGUAUAUAUUUUUUUUUAAAUGUCUUUGUUAUGUAACUGUAACAAAAAAUGUACCGUGUAUGUAAAAUGUGUGUAAAAUGUAUAAGUAACAGAAAAAACUGUAAAAGCAAAAAUGUAAGGGGAUUCUAUUGUGUAUUGCUGACCAUCCAAUACACUGCUACAGCAGAACUAACCUUCAGUGUCUCUCUUUCUCUCUCUCCCUCCCUUCCCUCUGUAGUUAGUGAAGCACAGGGACAGGGUGUUUGUUGGUGGGGGACAAGGUGUUUGGUGGGGGACAAGGUGGGGGACUAUGUUGGCAUGCUGCUGGAUGAAACCCUGUUUUACUCUAGCCUUGAACAAGGAAAUAAGUUAUCUUUCGAGCUGGGCAAGGGUGUGUGUGUCUCAAGUGUGUCUGUGUGUUAGUGUGGGCCAGGCAAUCAAGGUGUUGGACCUGGGUGUAGUCACUGUGUGUGUCUGUGUGUGUGUGUGUGUGUGUGUGUGUGUGUGUGUGUGUGUGUGUGUGUGUGUGUGUGUGUGUGUGUGUGUGUGUGUGUGUGUGUGUGUGUGUGUGUGUGUGUGUGUGUGUGUGUGUGUGUGUGUGUGUGUGUGUGUGUGUGCGUCAUGCAAUCAAGUUGUGAUACCUGGGAGUGGUUACUAUGAAAGAAGUACAACCAGAGUACGACUACGGCAGUCCCCCCAAAGAUACCCCCCAACCACGUCUUCCAGGUCUGUCUGUGAGGGAUUGAGAGAGUUUGUUUUUUAGCUACACAUUCAGUCAACAUUGACAUGUGUGACUUUGUGAGAGCGCUUAAAUGAAUAUUUUGUUUGUGUGUGUUAGAUGGAGCUGUUUGAGUUACAAGGGAGGAUGGAGGAAUCAUCUGUCGCGUCAUCACUAAGGGACUGGGAUACGCCGAGCCUAAUGAAGGAGCUGCCGUAAAAGGUGGGCUAAAGGAGUUGGUGGAGGCAGAGCUGCAAGCCAGGGAUGAGAAAGGCCGUUAUUCAACGUUUUUUUUGUGAGACUAUUAUAGACAUAGACAAAGCUCAAAAGAGAGGAAAGUAUCUGUAUCAGAGGAGGCUAUGUGUUGGCAUGUCCCCCAUCUAGUCCUGUAUAGCUGACACUAAAUGGUCCUAAAGGCCCCAUUUACAUUUGACAUUUUAGUCAUUUAGCAGACACUCUUAUCCAGAGCGACUUACAGUUAGUGCUAUCAUCUUAAGAUAGCUAGGUGGGACAACCACAUCUCACAGCCCUGGGGGACACCAGUAGUGAGAGUCCGUGGUGCAGACACAAAUCCUCUCAACGUCAUCUGGUAGGAGCGGCCUGCCAGGUAGGAUGCAAACCAAGAGUCUGCAGAGCCUGAGAUACCCAUCCCUGAAAGGGUGGAGAGGAGGAUUUGAUGGUUCACGGAGUCGAAGGCAGCGGAUAGAUCUAGGAGGAUGAGAACAGAGAAGAGUCAGCUUUGGCAGUGCGGAAAGCCUCCGUAACAGAGAAGAACAGUCUCGAUUGAGUGACCCGUCGUGAAGCCUGACUGGCUAGAGUCAAGACGAUUGUUCUGAGAGAGAUAACGAGAAAGUUGAUCAGAGACAGCACGCUCAAGUGUUUUGGAAAGAUAAAAAAGAAAGGAUACAGGUCUAUAGUUUUUGACGUCAGAUGUUGUUUGGAUGUCAGAUGUUGGUCGAGUGUUGGUUUCUUGAGGAGGGGAGCAACUCGGGCCAUUUUGAAGUCAGAGGGGACACAGCCAGUGGUCAGGGAUGAGUUGAUGAGGGAAGUGAGGGAAGUGAGGAGUGGGAGAAGGCCUCCAGAGAUGGUCUGGAGGAGGGGAUGGGGUCAAGCAGGCAGAUUGUCAGGCGGCCAGACCUCACUAGUCGCAGGAUGUCAUCUGGAGAGAGUGGGGAGAAAGAGGUCAAGGCAUAGGGUACUUCUAUGUGAGUGAGACCAGUGGACUCAAUAGGCUGAGUGAAUGAGUAGCGGAUGUCGUCAAGCUUUUUUCAAAGUGGACCGCAGAGAGGGAGGAGUGAGGGGCAGGGGUUGGGGGAUUAAGGAAGGAGGAGAAGGUGGAAAAGAGUUUACUAGGGUUAGAGGCAGAAGCUUGAAAUUCAGAGUGGUAGAAAGUGGCUUUAGAAGCUGAUACCUGGGAAGAGAAGGUAGGUAGGAGGGAGUGAAAGAAUGAUAGGUCCUCUGGAAGUUUAGUUUUCCUCCAUUUUUGCUCAGCUGCCUGCAGCCCUGUUCUGUAAACUCGCAACGAGUCACUUGGCCACGAAGCAGGAGGGGAGGGCCGACCUGGUCGGGAGAAAAGGGGACAGUGCGAGUCAUAGGAUGAGGAAAGGGAGGAGAGUAGGGUCGAAGUGGCAGAAUCAGGAGACAGGAGGGAGAAGGAUUUAGCAGAAUGGAGAUAGGAUAGAAGAGGAGAGAGUAGAGGGAGAGAGAGAGAGUGAAGAUUGUGAUGGCGCUUGACCAUCUGGGUAGAGGCUGAGUGGUUAGGGUUGGAGGAUAGGGAGACUGAAAAGGAAACAAAGUAUUGAUCAGAGACCUGGAGGGGGGUUGCAGUGAGAUUAGUAGGAGAACAGCCUCUAGUAAAGAUGAGGUCAAACGUAUUGCCUACCUUGUGAGUUGGAGGGGAUUGGGAAAGGGUGAGGUCAAAAGAGGCAAGGAGGGGAAAGAGAGCGUUGGAAAGAAAUGAAUCGAAGGCAGACGUCGGGAGGUUGAAGUCGCCAAG